rnacentral:lncRNA from 1 species
AGCAGACUGUAGCUGCGAGUCCUGGGUUGGAAGGCGCGAGGCCUGGCCUUGAAGGGCUGCAGAUGGUGGCCUCAAGCCUGCCACGUCCUUGAGGGGCCCGCGGCAGCCCUGAGGGUAGGAACGUCACGUUACUGUGCGUUACUUGCUACUUGCGUUGUUACAUUAUUCCGUUAAGGUCCGUUCACGGCCCUUUAAGAACGGUAGACACCACCUCAAGGUGCUCUUAACUAGGGUCCCCGGGCUGUCGUCUUACCCUGUAGGCUUAGCUCCCAGCGCUGCAGGGGCGCGGGGGCGCCCUGGGGGGGGGGGGUGGCCCCGUGACCAGCACUGCCCGCCGCCCUCGCUCACGCUCUGGGUCACGUCCUGAGCCGCCCGCAUCUUCCCCAGGAGAGGGAGGCAUCUUGUUGAAGUUGAGGCCAGGGCCAAGGAUUGGUUAUCAAAGGAAAGGAAAUGAACUGCUAUCAGCUCACCUCUGAGUGGCACUUCCCCGCCCACCGGCUGUUAGCACCUGGGAGAGGGGGGAUGCACUUUCCCCGCCCACCCGGCUGUUAGCAGGGGGGGUGUGCACUUCCCGUGUGCACCGCCUGUUAGCCUUGGGGAGGGGGCUGCACUUCCCCACGGCUGUUAGCACUGGAGAGAGGGUGCACUGCUCAUUUCUGCGCGUAGGCCCUAGGCCAGGUAAGAAUUGCAUCAAGAAGGAAAGGUGGGGGCUGGGUUGUGGCUUAGUGGUGGAGGACUUGCCUUGCACUUGAGAGCCACUGGGGUUCCAUCCUCAGCACGACAUUUAAAAAAAAAAGUGUGUCCAUUUACAAUUAAAAAAUAAUAAUAAAAAUAGGGGAUAGUUAACUUAAAAAAGAAAAAGAGGAAGGAAAGAUGGGUAGGGCUGGCUCCUGCAGGGCCUACUGGGAUCCUAGUAAAAGUAGGAGUUUUGGCCACAGGUUCCUUGGUGUAUUUCAGAAGGGCAUUUCAUGACUGUUCAGGUGCACUGAGGUAGAUUUUGUCAGGUCAGUGACCCCAGCACCCCCACUGACCUAGGUUUUGAUACAGGGCUUGUAGAUGAAGCCCCCUGAGUGUUCCAGAGAGGACCCCUGCCUGAAGUGAAGAAGGAGUCGAACAAAUGGUGAAGACUGCAGAAGGUGGCCCCCAGUUUAUCAAGUAACGCAUUUGGAAGCAGCUCAGAGAUGGCCUGUUUUUUCCCUGCUUGAGCCUGACUUUAACUCAAAUACUCUUGCUUGACUUUUUUUUUCUUUAAUAUUUUUUAGUUGUCAAUGGACCUUUAUUUCAUUUAUUUAUGGGGUGCUGAGAAUCGAACCCAGUGCCUCACACAUACUAGGCAAGUGCUCUGCCACUGAGCCCCAACCCCAGCCCCCUCUUACUUGACUUUUUGUGUCUGACUUUAAAUUCUUUCCUUGGGACAGAAGAACUGAGGCAUGGAGCUUCAGCUCCUCACUGUCUGCUGCAGUCUGGCUGGGCACAAUUCACACAGGCAACACCACAUGACCUCUUCAGGAAUUCCCUGGGAGCCCAACUACCACCACCGGCUUCCCACAGCCUCUCAACCCCCACCACACACUCCUCCUGCUCUUGAGGCCGAUUGGCUGGGUUGCGUGGGUGGAGCCAAAAGAGUCCCCCAAUGAGCAGCUCCAUGGUCUGAAAGGGUGGGGAAACAGCCCAAUGAGCAUUACCACAGAGGAGCCAAUCAGCUGGCAGCUGGAAGUUUGCUGGGGCUGCUGUGAGCCAAUCAUCAGCUGGCAGCUGGAAGUUUGCUGGGGCGGCUGUGAGCCAAUCAUCACAUUCUUUAGGAUCCUUCCAUUUUAAUACCAUCACACUUCUAUGGGGAUUAGUUGCCACUCCUAGGCCUUGAAGCAUUUGAGUGGCUUGUUGUAAAGGCCAAUCUUUUGGCCAUUCUUGACGAGAGACGAUGCUAAGAUCUGCACCUGUGUCUAGUAGUCCAUUGAAAUUUUUUCCUUGAAUAGUUAAGUUUAACGUAGGGCGAGAAUCUAAAUUUAAAGAAAGCAUAGCCCAAUCUAUACCUGUGGAGCCAAAUCCUUUGGAACCUCUUUCUACAUUAUGACUAGCAAAUUUGUCAUGUGAGCUAGGGAGUAUUAAUAACUGUGCAAUCCUAUCUCCUGGUGAAAUUACUGAGAUACCCCUUGGAGAACUAGCUAUAAUUUUUAUCUCACCUUCAUAAUUGGAAUCAAUUACCCCAGGAUUUAUCAUAAGUCCUUUUAGAGUAGAAGAACUGCGUCCUAAUAAUAAGCCUACUGUUCCUUGGGAAAGAGGUCCUUUUACCCCUGUGGGAAUGAUUUGAACUCCCAUCUCUGGAGUUAGUACUGCUCUGGCAGAGGCGCAGAUGUCCAAUCCUGCGCUUCCUCUGGUUUGUCUGAUAAAGGAGUUAACGGAUAAUGUGUCCUGGGCACUACCCUGAUGGUGUUGCUGGGUUCCUUCAGUGCCCCGUAUAUUUGCGGUUGUGGGCCCUGGGGCAUCGGCCCCCUCAUCCGUUUUUUGGCAACGGAGUACCCUCUACAGUAGUCUGAGAACGGCAUUCAUAAGCCCAGUGUUUUCCUCUAUGACAUUGUGGGCAAACACCUGGUAUUUUUCUUUUUUGAUCAUACCCAGUUUUGUAACUUGUUUUAAACUCUCCUCCUAUAGGGCAAUUUCUUCGAAAGUGUCCUGCUUGACCACAAUUAUAACAUGUUUUUGGCCUGGCACCUAAAGCCUGUUGUACUCUCCGGUUACUGCAGCUGCCAAGACUUGCCCCUGCAUCACUGGUUCACCAAUAUCUCUACACAGUUUAAUGUAUGCAUUUAAGUCUUUAUAUUUACAAGGUCUAAUAGCCUCCCUACACCAUCUAUUGGCUUGUUCGUAGGCUAGUUGCUUUAUUAAUGGCAUCGCUUGUUCUACAUUCCCAAAGACUCUGCUUGCUGUUUGUAUAAGCCUAUCUACAAUCUCAGCUUAAGGUUCAUUAGCUCCUUGUAUUACCUUAGAUAAUUGACCUUGUAAAUCUCCUUGUCCUUGUAAAGUCUUCCAUGCCUUAACUGCAGCUGAAGCGAUUUGUGAGUAUAUGGCAGGAUCAAAUCUAGUUUGUUGCUGCUGAUCCUCAUAAGGUCCUUCUCCUAGCAACAUAUCUAGAUUUCUCUGUGGAUACCCAGCUGCUGCAUUUCCCUUGGCAGUCUCCAUACACAAUUCUUGAUUAGCAACUUUCUAUAACAGAUAUUGUCCUCCAUUUAGCACAGCCUUGCAUAUGCUAGCCCAAUCUGCUGGUGUCAAGUUAUAAUUUGCAAUGGACUCAACCAUGCUUAUGGUAAAAGGGGCUUGAGGACCAUAGGCUGCUACAGCUUCUUUUAACUGCUUUACAGUUUUAAAAUCCAAAGCCUGGUGAUAUCGCUGCCCUCUCUCAUCCUCAAGUACAGGGCAUGCUAAUCUUCAAGGUCCUGUCUCAGGAUCCCAUCUAUCAACUAUGGGGGUUGGGGGCCACCCAGCAUAUGUUGUCUCCAUAGGUGGAGCUGUUGGUUGAAUACUUACACCCUCUGGUGUUAGAAAGGUGUUAGUAGCAGCCUCCCGUUGUAACUCCUCCCCUGAUAGCCCUUCCUCCUCUAAACUUUCUUCUCCUGUCUGACUAGCUCGAGAGACUUCCUCUUUUACUUGAUCAAAGAUGUCUUCUUGACUAAGCAAACAGGAUCGUACCAACGUCCAUAAUGGUAAUGUGCCAACUGGCAGAGUUCCUGGGCUUUCCUUUUCUAUCUUUUUUAAAUCUUCACCAUGAUGGUCCCAUUGUGAUAUUAACGACUCCUCCUUAAAGAACCAUGGGCUACAUUUUUGUAUCGUAUCAACGUAUGCCCUAAUUAUUCUUGGUUUUACUGGGGGCCUCCUUCCUCUAGCAAUUUACUUAACACCCUUUCGGUUUGGUUUUAACUAACUUCUGAUCCCAUUUUUCCAUAACAAAGAUAAAACAAUCCACUAAGAUAACACAAAAUAAAACCGAAACAAAACGGAACAAAAACACACUGUAUCAACUUUUGUAUUUUCUUGAAAUGUGCAUCCGUUCUCUGGCCCUAUCUGUUCCUCAGGGCCGAUCAGCUUUUCUCCCAUCCUAUUUAUUUCUAGGGACAGGCAGCUUAAAAAUGAAAUGAAAAAAAAAAAAAUGAAACAAGAACACACUGUUUCUUGAAAUGGUCACCCAUCCUCUCGCCCUAUCCUCAGGGGCAAGCAGCCUUACCUUGUCACUUACUCCCAAGCGUCCUGGAGCUCCCCAUAUGGGCCACCAUAUGCCGCAGUCUAGCUGGGCAAAAUAACCAGGAGGUGACAAGCAACUUGAAGGUUGAAGUGGGAACUGCUUUAUUGUGGGGAAACUGAGCGGGAACUUAAGGUAGCGGGCACCCAAGGUAGCAGGAGCCGCUUUAUUGCAGGACACCAGAGGUGUAUAUAUACCUAACUGAUUACACACAGCUUGACUCAAUUAGCAUCAUCUAGAUACAGCAAGCAGCCAAAUAGGAAUCCCCACCAUCUAAAUGGCUCGGUGGUGUUGCUUCACAAACCACUCCUCCUGGCAAACUGCCAGGCGCCAUCUUGACUUGAUUUGCCAUCCCCAACACCGUGGGAAUUCUCCUACAUGAUUGGGUCUGCUCCUACACCAUGGGCUGCUCCUACACCAUCAGCCUGCUCCUACACCAUGGGCUACUCCUAUACCAUGGGCUACUCCUUUACCAUGGGCCUGCUACUACACCAUGGCCCGCUCCCACAGCAUGGCCUGCUCCUAUGCCAUGUGCUGCUCCUACACCAUGACCUGCUCCUACACCAUGUGCUGCUCCUACACCAUGGGCUACUCCUGCACCAUGUGCUGCUCCUGCACCAUGUGCUGCUCCUACACCAUCAGCCUGCUCCUACACCAUCAGCCUACUCCUACACCAUGUGCUGCUCCUACACCAUGGGCUACUCCUACACCAUCAGCCUGCUCCUACACCAUGGGCUACUCCUGCACCAUGUGCUGCUCCUGCACCAUGUGCUGCUCCUACACCAUCAGCCUGCUCCUACACCAUGGGCUGCUCCUACACCAUGGCCUGCUCCCACACCAUGGGCUGCUCCCAC